AUGAACGCUGGCGGCGUGCCUAAUACAUGCAAGUCGAGCGAACAGACGAGGAGCUUGCUCCUUUGACGUUAGCGGCGGACGGGUGAGUAACACGUAGGUAACCUACCUAUAAGACUGGGAUAACUUCGGGAAACCGGAGCUAAUACCGGAUAAUAUUUCGAACCGCAUGGUUCGAUAGUGAAAGAUGGCUUUGCUAUCACUUAUAGAUGGACCUGCGCCGUAUUAGCUAGUUGGUAAGGUAACGGCUUACCAAGCAACGAUACGUAGCCGACCUGAGAGGGUGAUCGGCCACACUGGAACUGAGACACGGUCCAGACUCCUACGGGAGGCAGCAGUAGGGAAUCUUCCGCAAUGGGCGAAAGCCUGACGGAGCAACGCCGCGUGAGUGAUGAAGGUCUUCGGAUCGUAAAACUCUGUUAUUAGGGAAGAACAAACGUGUAAGUAACUGUGCACGUCUUGACGGUACCUAAUCAGAAAGCCACGGCUAACUACGUG
rnacentral:rRNA from 1 species